rnacentral:lncRNA from 1 species
CGCAGCGGUCGCGCCACGACCCGGAGCCGCCAGCACCACCUCAUGCUGCUGGGCAGCCGCGGGCCGGCGCCGCUGGGGAGGUGGCAGGGAGGCGGGCAGCCGGCGACCUCUCCUACCUCCCUGCAGGGAUGAGAUAAUCCACACCCCCAAAAGUGCGUGGGGGAGGGGGCCUGGCCCCAAUCCUCCGACCCCGCGGCCAAAGCCAAGUCUCUUUCCUCUCCCGCUCAGGCCCAAUUCCGGCCCCUGGGACCCAGGAGUCCUGAGAGAACAAUGUUGGUGGUGGGGCGCGAGGAGCGGAAAAGCGCACUGCGCGGCGUGAGCUGGCGGGCCGCAGCAUAGCAACCGAACAUGGCGGCUGCGCAGGCGCCGCCAGUCAGUGGCCAGGAGCGGCGGCGGCAGCAACAGGAGGCGAUCUCGCGAGAGGCGAGGCCAAAACCCUGCCUCGCUAGCGCAGGGAGAAGUCGCACCAGUCGGAGCGCAGAGGGACACGCAGACAUUUCAGCAGAGGCCUCAAAGGCAGAACAAAAUAGUGCAAGGAGCCGCACAUCCGCACAGUGCUGAGACCCUGCCCAGGACAAGCUUGGCCGCAGUAUUCCCUUUGGCACCCCCACCCACCUGGAACAAAGCCUGAUGUAAAGUCUGGGUGCGACUCAGACCGGCCUGGGAAAGAAUUUAUUUAAUAAAUGGUGG